UUCCUAAAUUGCUAUUAACUCACAAUUUAUUCUUGGGUUUGAAAAUUGUGAGUUCUACAUCAAGAGAUGGCCACAGUUGGAUGGCAUGCAAUUUGAGGAUGUCUUAAUUAGUUUUCCUGAUGCCAUUCCUUGUGGAGUCAAGGUUGCAUCAUAUGGUGGUAAAACUGUUCUUAAUCCAGAGGAUUCCUAUGUCCUACAACUACAAGAAGGCGAUAAAGUUCUUGUUAUAGCUGAGGAUGAUGACACCUAUUCUCCAGCAGCACUGCCUACGAAGGGGGAGAUAGGAAAUGCAACUUACUUUUUACAAGCAUAUUUACUCCAAAAUGCCAAGGGGGGAGGGUGAUAAUAUUCUUAAUUGGCAGUUGACUCGGAAUGGUGUUUUUGAUUUGGUGUCACCGCAUUUUUCCUAUCCAAGAAACUUGCAGUUUGAAUGAGAAGGAACUGCAAACAGUUUUAUCAAAGCUUGUUUUUUCAUGAAUGAUAAACAGCACAAAGUUUCACAUCCUGUAAAG